CUAAUCUCUUUGCCGAUUUUUCUUCUGAGUAUGGGUUAAUCGGGGCCGAUGGCCACCGUGGAGCGCCUAGGCGGCGGCCUAGGCCGAUUUUUAGAACACUAGUUUUUCUCCAGAAGAAGUUGAACGUCCUACAUUAAAAAUAUAAAGCAAAGUAUUAAAAUUCUACCAAAAUAAUUACCAAAUUAUACUAAGAAUAGGGUAAAAUAUAUGAUAUAAUAUUGACUCAUCAAAAUACCCCCAAAAUUAGUUUUUUUGCUUGUCCUCAAGCAAAACAAAACUCAAAAACAAAUUAAAAACUUUAUUAAAAUUCAACUAAAACAAAAUUUCACCUUCAAGUUGCAAUCCAUAGAAAACAUUAAAAAUUAGAACAUCCUUCCAAAAGCUUCAACUAAUCCCACCACAGAGUCUAAGCCGUUUAGAAUCAAUUAGAAAACAAUUCAUGAACUUCCUUUGGUGUAAAGUGAACCAACAUAAUUAAGGAGACUCGCCUAAAAUAUUACAUUUUUUUUUCUCUUUUUUGAAUUUUCUUCUUUUUUUUUGUUUUUUUUGUUUUUUUUUUUUUUUAGUAACAGUGGUGGUCGUGCAAUGCCAAUUCUCUUAAGCUUUCAAUUCAACCCAUGUAACGAGCUUUAGGUCAAUGACUGCCAAACCACAAAGGCUUUAGGGCACUAGGUGUAGAACACCCCUAAGGACUUACUAACUCGAGCUGAAAAGGCUACGGAACCAACUAACCACCUUGUCCCAUGCCAAGACUCUACUGUUUGACACGAGAAUCACUGUUGAUUAGGCAGGACUGGCCCGGUUACUAGGCAAAGUCUUUGGUGGAACAAUUAUUACUUUAUUUAUAACACAUACUCAACUUUACUUAAAACAAAAAUUAAAAAUAAACUUAGACUAAAAGUAAGUGUUUCAAUCUCACUGCCCACAAACCAUGUUGAUGUGAAUGUGCAAAUUUGCAAAGUAUAACUCAUGAAUUAGUGUCUAAGCAACGAUAAAUAGAAAAGACUCUAUUAUGGGAUUAACCUUCACCAUGUCCAUUUGUUCUAACAUUUAAAUUAAUCUAUGGAUAUUAACUUAUAAAGAAUGAUUUUUUUUUUUAACCCAAAAAUGAAAAUUUUAAAAUUUCUUAUUUCCCACCCCCAAACUUAAAUCACAUUGUCCUCAAAGUGUGGAAAAAUAAAGAAAUGAAAAGAAACAAAAAUAAUAAGUCCUAAAAUAAAAAUGUAAAACAACUAACAAAGAUAAAGAAAAUAAACUAGGAAAAGAAAAUAGAAAACAAUAAAAGAAAUAAAAUAACAAAUAAAACAGAAAACAAGAGAAAAGAAAAGGAAACUAACACACCUGGGAUUCGAACCUGAGACCUAGAAGAGCAACCAGGAAGCAUCGUAAAAAUUGGAAAAAAGUAUGAGAAGAGGUGCUGAGCUUUACACAGCAUACACGGAACCACACGUGUGAAUAAACCCAGAUGCUUCAUUAUGUAAACAUUUUAGCAGCCCAUGCUCCUUCAUUUCCCAUUUCUGCCAUUGAGCUCUUCUCCCCUCUUCUCUCUAGCCUCGAGCCUAUUAAGCAUAGUGAAGAA
rnacentral:lncRNA from 1 species